UUAAGCUGGCCAUAGACGAACGAUUUGUUGGUGUGAUUUGCAAAUUUAUUGCUGCGAUUUAUUGCAUAUCGUUUCUCCACACACGCUCGAACAAAUCAUAAUUCGGCCGACGUUGAAGAGUAAGCAUAUGCUACGAAGCGGAUGAUGUUCAUUUUGUGUUUGAACUUCGGAAACUUAAAAAAACAUGUGCGACGAUGCAGUGGCUGAUGCAGCUGCGCUUUUAAUUAUAUAUACAUGUUUCGACAUGGAAAAUAAAAAACAAGAAAAGAAAAAAA